GAUGAAGAACGUAGUAAAAUGCGAUAAGUAAUGUGAAUUGCAGAAUUCAGUGAAUCAUCGAAUCUUUGAACGCACAUUGCGCCCGCCAGUAUUCUGGCGGGCAUGCCUGUUCGAGCGUCAUUUCAACCCUCAAGCUCAGCUUGGUGUUGGGACUCGCGGUAACCCGCGUUCCCCAAAUCGAUUGGCGGUCACGUCGAGCUUCCAUAGCGUAGUAAUCAUACACCUCGUUACUGGUAAUCGUCGCGGCCACGCCGUAAAACCCCAACUUCUGAAUGUUGACCUCGGAUCAGGUAGGAAUACCCGCUGAACUUAAGCAUAUCAAUAAGCGGAGGA
rnacentral:misc_RNA from 1 species